AGAGUUUGAUCCUGGCUCAGGACGAACGCUGGCGGCGUGCCUAAUACAUGCAAGUAGAACGCUGAAGAGAGGAGCUUGCUCUUCUUGGAUGAGUUGCGAACGGGUGAGUAACGCGUAGGUAACCUGCCUCUUAGCGGGGGAUAACUAUUGGAAACGAUAGCUAAUACCGCAUAAAAGUCGACAUUGCAUGAUGUUGACUUGAAAGGUGCAAAUGCAUCACUAAGAGAUGGACCUGCGUUGUAUUAGCUAGUUGGUGAGGUAACGGCUCACCAAGGCGACGAUACAUAGCCGACCUGAGAGGGUGAUCGGCCACACUGGGACUGAGACACGGCCCAGACUCCUACGGGAGGCAGCAGUAGGGAAUCUUCGGCAAUGGGGGCAACCCUGACCGAGCAACGCCGCGUGAGUGAAGAAGGUUUUCGGAUCGUAAAGCUCUGUUGUAAGUCAAGAACGAGUGUGAGAGUGGAAAGUUCACACUGUGACGGUAGCUUACCAGAAAGGGACGGCUAACUACGUGCCAGCAGCCGCGGUAAUACGUAGGUCCCGAGCGUUGUCCGGAUUUAUUGGGCGUAAAGCGAGCGCAGGCGGUUUGAUAAGUCUGAAGUUAAAGGCUGUGGCUCAACCAUAGUUCGCUUUGGAAACUGUCAAACUUGAGUGCAGAAGGGGAGAGUGGAAUUCCAUGUGUAGCGGUGAAAUGCGUAGAUAUAUGGAGGAACACCGGUGGCGAAAGCGGCUCUCUGGUCUGUAACUGACGCUGAGGCUCGAAAGCGUGGGGAGCGAACAGGAUUAGAUACCCUGGUAGUCCACGCCGUAAACGAUGAGUGCUAGGUGUUGGAUCCUUUCCGGGAUUCAGUGCCGCAGCUAACGCAUUAAGCACUCCGCCUGGGGAGUACGACCGCAAGGUUGAAACUCAAAGGAAUUGACGGGGGCCCGCAC
rnacentral:rRNA from 1 species